CUUUCGUAUGGGCUUAUGCUUUAUGAAUGGUAUCUAAUUUUGUCUGUUCACUUUGAAUUAGGGUUAGUCGUCGUCUUCUAUCUCUGCGAUGAAUGAGCUCGAGCAACAAUGGAGACCAAAUCAAGUCAGCCGAAUCGUCCUCGAGAACCUUGGUAUCAAGCAUCCGUCGUUUCGUAUUUGGUACUUAACCUCCAGACGUUAAAAGUUGUCUUCAUUCAUAAGAGAUGUCUUAACUCCACCGACGCGAAUCAAGCACAACGUCUCAUUAAUGAUACUCAUCCAACACCAAGGCGGUUUCCUUUACCUAUAAAAGGACUGGUGGCUGCUCUUCCACCGUCCAUGUCCGGUUGCUCCGAUUCUGGGAAGCUGAUUCUUGUCAACCGUCAUGCCAGCCAUCAUGAAUGUUCACCGGCUAGCUACUUACAGAGACCGUCUCCAGGCUGGUUCACUGGUUGUGCAACCAGAACUUCAGGCUUUCAGACUUGCUUCUGACAGUCCAGUACGGUGAUUCAACCAAUCUAGAUGUGCAAAACGAACCAGAUUCUCACAUUCCUGAAGAAGGUUUCAGGUUCGGUGAUCACGAUUCGCUUCUUGGCCUAGCCAACACCAACACACAUCUUCUAGACGUCAUUACGUUAUUACUGAGCUCACUGCUAUGAGAAGUACGGUGACUGACAUUCCUAGAGCGAGUUAUGUGGACUAUGAAGAUCGACAGUCUGUUUGACUCACAAGCGAUCUCUUUUCACAAGAAACUUGAAGGUUGUUGUUGCAAGUAGCAUAUACCCAAAGAUGGACGUUUGUUCUUGAAUGCCACCUCAGGAACACAUGUGUUUUUCGACAAGGAAACUGAUGCAGAAGCUAGACAUGUCUCUUUCAUUUAAGGAUCAGUCAAAACAGAACACAUUCAGAUCUCGGUUCUUAAUCUAUAGUACAUGAAAAAGUCUCAGGACGUUAAACAUGACAGACAUGAUCUUUUGAAAAGAGAAAUAGAUGUGUAUCUGCUGCAGUUGUACGGCUACUGAGAUAGAGAGGACACAAAAGAGGAUGAAUACAAAAUAGAGAUCUGCAGUACUUUGAUGAACUAGAAGCUAGAAAUGAUGUGUAGCCUUCUCCCAAACUGGAAACAUCAACAAACUACCUUGGUCUAAAUAUAAAAAGAGUCUUAACAGCAAGUAGGGUCUAAUCAUAUUUACUAAUAUAUAAGCCCAGAUGUAGAAAAAAUAUACGAGUGUACACAAGGAUUUGGUCUAUGUGUUAUUGUAUAUAGUAUUCUUUCUAGACUAUGAUUCUUCUUUAAUCUUCUUCUAUGAAUAUUCUUCUACUCAA